rnacentral:rRNA from 1 species
AGACCCGAAACCCGGUGAUCUAGCCAUGGGCAGGUUGAAGGUUGGGUAACACUAACUGGAGGACCGAACCGACUAAUGUUGAAAAAUUAGCGGAUGACCUGUGGCUGGGGGUGAAAGGCCAAUCAAACCGGGAGAUAGCUGGUUCUCCCCGAAAGCUAUUUAGGUAGCGCCUCGUGAAUUCAUCUCCGGGGGUAGAGCACUGUUUCGGCUAGGGGGCCAUCCCGGCUUACCAACCCGAUGCAAACUGCGAAUACCGGAGAAUGUUAUCACGGGAGACACACGGCGGGUGCUAACGUCCGUCGUGAAGAGGGAAACAACCCAGACCGCCAGCUAAGGUCCCAAAGUCAUGGUUAAGUGGGAAACGAUGUGGGAAGGCCCAGACAGCCAGGAUGUUGGCUUAGAAGCAGCCAUCAUUUAAAGAAAGCGUAAUAGCUCACUGGUCGAGUCGGCCUGCGCGGAAGAUGUAACGGGGCUAAACCAUGCACCGAAGCUGCGGCAGCGAACGUAUCACCCAAGACAACUUUACGGAGUUGGCGAUUGACGGAGCGAAGCGACGUCAAAGCGUUCAUUAAAGUCGAGUUGGCUUAGGGAUACGUUCGUUGGGUAGGGGAGCGUUCUGUAAGCCUGUGAAGGUGUGUCGUGAGGCAUGCUGGAGGUAUCAGAAGUGCGAAUGCUGACAUAAGUAACGAUAAAGCGGGUGAAAAGCCCGCUCGCCGGAAGACCAAGGGUUCCUGUCCAACGUUAAUCGGGGCAGGGUGAGUCGACCCCUAAGGCGAGGCCGAAAGGCGUAGUCGAUGGGAAACGGGUUAAUAUUCCCGUACUUGGUGUUACUGCGAAGGGGGGACGGAGAAGGCUAUGUUGGCCGGGCGACGGUUGUCCCGGUUUAAGCGUGUAGGUGUGUGUUCCAGGUAAAUCCGGUUCACUUUAACACUGAGGCGUGAUGACGAGGCACUACGGUGCUGAAGCAACAAAUGCCCUGCUUCCAGGAAAAGCCUCUAAGCAU